UUGAACUGCAGUACAAAACUGUAGUCCGGAAACUGCAGUCAAAAGUGACUAAGAACUACAGAUUUAACUGUUUGCGUCAUCACAGUAAGAUCUGCACUCCGUAAGUGUAAAAUAAUCUACAGUUUUACUGCAGUCCCUUUUGAUUUGAUGUGUUCAGAUUAGAAAGUAGUUCUGCAAGUAGUGAAGACUCAGUAAAAAGUGUAAAUAAAGAGCAAUGCGGGGAUACAUUCUUAAAGAACACCUUGCACUGAAGUUCAUCUUCAGUUCUGUGUGACAACAAAAGAGUCCAAAUAUCUAAAUUUCUGAAAAAUAAGAGCUAAGAAAAUAAAGUAACGUCAUUGUAAAAUAAAAUAUAAAAAAAACUUAUUUUUUUUAGAACGUGUAUCUUAAUUUAUGGGUAAGAGUUCCUUUGCGUGGCUAAACUCAUAUCCACAUGUCUCUCCAGUUUCCGACGGACCUUCGGGAACACCGAACCGAACCUUGGCGCGCUCGGGAGCCGAACGAGUCGGACUUGACGGUUCCGAAAACAAAUGACUGUCGACUCGCUGAUUCUUGGGGCGAUAUUUGUCGAAGUGAGCUUAGAGUGGCGGGAUUCUUACUGUGGCCUGUGAAGAUUCGAGUGUUAAUGCCGAUAAGAUUGGCGAUUUUUGCGGCGAUUUUUGGCGAUUCGGGGGGCUCGUGUCGCGUUUUGGCGAUUGCAGCGCCCCUCUCGGCGAUUCGGAGCACCCGGCAACACUGGCGCCGGCCGAGACGAGCGGCAGUCGCUCCAAGAUGGCGUCUUCCUUCAGCUUUCAUGUUCGUGUCGUCAGCCAAACGUUUUAGUGUUUACUGAAAAAGACUGGGCCGCAAACAUCACGGUGGUUACCAUGUCAAUUUGGAAGUGCUAUUAUCACAGAGGAGCAGUCGUGCUCACCGUGACGGCGACGGGCGGCAGCGACGCGACAGGUCUGGUCUGACUUAACCUCCUGCUCUGUACACAACUGUCCCAGAACUCCAAGCAACUGCAAUAAUGCUACGAACUGUUUAUGGAUUCCUAUGGACCAGAUGUUGAGCGUUCAAGUUCAAGUUCCGGGUUCCAACUUAGCAGCCUAGGGGUGGCUUCACAUUCACAUCUAGGUCUACUGGUGUUCUAACAUCUGGCCUGGAGUAACCAUGAAUUGGCUGCUGAACGUUUCCGAUGCUUGAUGCUGUGACACACUCACUGACAAGUAUAAGAUUGCAUGUUGCUUGGCUGGAGACUUGAGAAUGGCCUUCUUCACCAUGAAACUGGACUUGACUUUGGAUAACCAACUACAUAAUUGAUUUAUAAAGAAAAUUGUGUUUUGAAUGUUUUGUAUGGCCUGCUCUGUUGUUCAUUAAAAAUUGUAUGUUAUUCA